AUCAGUGUGGUAGGAAAUAUUACUGGAAAGGUUCUUUAACUAAACACAAACAGCGGGAAUGUGGGAAGGAGCCACAAUAUGCAUGUUCCCUUUGUUCAUAUAAAUCAAAGCAAAAAGGCAGUCUACAGAGACAUGUGCUUAGAGUUCAUGAAGGAUCUAUAUUUUUGCCUAUAUCAUCAGCAAGCAAUUUAUGGUGUGACUCAGAAGCAGCAUGAUGUUUUCUCAACUUCAGUUAAUUACUAUAUUGAAAACAAUCCUUCCUGUCUGUGUGUUUGGGUGGGGGAGGGAGUGAUGAUCUGGUGGCUCUGACUUUAUUCUGCAUGACUUUUUGCUUUGAUAGCAUGUUAUUUAUUUUGAGUGUGCAUAACAAAAGACUUUCUUCCUUUACACCAGAGAACAAAUUCUAGAAAGACUAAUAUUUAGAGAGGAGUGAUAGGUGUUGGUAUUACACAUGAUUUACAACUCAAAAAAGAACACUAUGGAGUGUUGCAUUGGAAGCAGUAGACUGAGUAACAAAGAGGACCUUGCAAUAACAGAAAAGUAAGAGGCAAAACAAUAUCAUAGUUAUGUAGCAACAUCAUGACAACAUACAAUUCAUAAAACUUUGUUUGCAACAAACUGACUUUUUAUGUAUUUGUAUAUGUAUAGAAAGUUCUGGUCGAAAUUCAUAAAUUAUUUAGGCAUAAAGGAGAUGACUCACCAAAAGACAGAAGCACUGUGUCAUCAAUGGGGGUGUAUAAAAAAAAAAUAAUAAUGAGAGAGCUUGGCUAGCUUUUGGAACGCACCACACACACACACACACACACACACACACACACACACACACACACUCUCUCUCUCUCUCUCUCUCUCUCUCUCUCUUUCUCUCAUAAUGCCUGCCUCCAUACACAGUGCUUUAUUCCUAAAUAAUUUUUAUUUAUGUACUGAGUCAAUUGCUUGUGUAAGUACAAAUGUUAUUGAGAAACAAUGCUUAGAAUCUUAAAUUUGUGUGACAAAUGUGAAACCCAUUUUGAAGAAAAAUGUAUUGCUAACUAUGUAUAAUAAGUAUGCCUUGCAACUGUGCAUGUCAGCUGUGUUCUGUAUCUGUACUAGAGUAAGUUGUUGUGUGUAUUUCAUGCGCCUCUUCCCCUUCUAUUGGCACUUCCUGCUUCAUCUCUUUGUCUUCUUCUCUUCAUACUAACUUCUCUUUUGUAAUGUUUCAUUCGUUGUUGCCACUUUGGAAGUUACUAGGGCUUCGCUAUUUUGUUUUGGCUCUUCUAGCAGUGUCGUAUGCUAGUGCGGCAAGGGUACUGCAGAAAUGUACUUGCAGAAAAAGAAAAUAAAGAUUACAUAAUUAUUAUUCUUAUUUUGGCCAUGCAGACAGACAUAUCAAUUACAUAUUUGUUUCCUAAAGUAAUGAUUAAAACUUUAUUUUUACAAAGUGAUAAUUAAAACUUUGACUUCCUCAUGCAGUGUCAUACUUUUGUAGUCAGGACUUAGUUGGCAGGUAGUGGUUGUCACAUAUCUGUGGCUGCAGUCUGUACUGGAAUGGUUCACUGUGUCCUACUGACUGUCACUGCUUGGGGCUACAAGCAGAAUCAUGCACGAUCAAUUGGCAGAUGUCAAAAUGCCUUACAUCAGGCCAACAACCAAGUGUCCCACACUAGGAGGAUCACUCCCCUAGCAUUCUGCAAAAUUUCCUCUGGGCAUGUCCCUUAUAUUUGAUUGCCCAGCUCAAGCUCUGGGCAUGCCCCUUUCAUUUGAUUGCCCAACUCAAAUUGUUUCAGCAAUCAAAUUAUUUCAGAAUUUAAAUCAAAUUAUUUGUCAGCACUCUUGUUGCUGUUGUGUGAUGCCUUCUUUUCCCAUGCUAAAAGAAACAUGCUCUCACCAAAAAUAUUCCUUUUUAAAAGCAUUCUGUUCAUGAAUAAUGUUUAGUUUAGCAGUAUCUUUAAAACUUUGUGACCUGUUGUGUAGUUAAUCGUGUCAUAUCCCUUUGGCUGGCACCUUCCUUGUAAUGUUAUUGCCAAUGUACAAGGCAAUAAUAAUCUUCGGUGUGGUUAUUUGGACGUGGGCCUUUAAUGUCUGUCUGGUAGCUGUCUGCAACAUCAUUGCGUAAUGUGGACCCUCUGCUUUUUCUUUGUCACUCGGCAGACACAUUACAAUUUCUGGCAUUCUUUUUGUCAUGUUUUAUUCGUGUGACUCUCAGUCUUUCAUUGCAUUUCCCGUGUUGAAACCUGUAUCUCGUAUUCCUCUGUCAUCAGGUUAAAUAAAGCAGUUCUUCAGUCUCUGGACUUUUACAUGAAAGGAAAUUUGUAGAAGUCAAACUCUAACCUUCCAUCCUUUUUCUUGUGUUUUGUCACUCGCUUCUCACCUUGAUUAGUUGACAAAUUUACCUCAUACUUUUAUAGUAAGUUUUUUUAAUUUCUCUUGUUUUAACAACAUAUGUCUAUUUGUAAAUGUCUGAUUAAAUGAUAGUUUCAUAUCAGAAAGAUGGAGUUUCAAAUCCCUGUCCCAUCACACCAUCAAGAGUAGGUUUUUGUACUUAGCUUGUACCUGACACUCUGUUUAUUGGAAGUAUGUAAUGGAUGCUGUGCCCACAUUUUUUUACACUAAAUUUCUCAUAAAAAUAUUUGGUAUGAGUUGGUCUGCCGGGCUUGCAAAUUUUAAGUUUUAUGAUUUAAUCAUAUUUAUGAUGCUGGAAUCAUUAUAUGUAGAGGAGAGCAUUCAUUACCUGAAUACCAGUAAACAGAAACUUCAGUUUCGUGAAAGCAUUCCAAUUGUCAAAUUCUUUUUGAAUGUGUGCCAUGUAGAAGUUUCACUAACACAGGGCUGGCUAGUUCGACCUGUUUCCCCCUCCCUGCCAGCCAUAAUAAUUUCUGUUCUGUUUUAAUUUUUUGUCCUAGGCUUUUGACAGAUCAUGCUCUUGCAUUGUUCGCAAUGGUGACUAUACAUAAUGCAUUGUUUUUAUUGUUUCUGAUAAUCUUAAAAUAAUAGAUCAAUUGAAGAAAGUUGCUAGUGGGUCAACCUUAGGUUGGAAAUAUGGAGUUGGAAAUACAUCAUCAUUAGACAUUAAAAAGAACAGUGAUACCAUCAAUAAAAUUUCCUAGGCCCCAAGCCAUUUUGUAAACACAUUUAUUCAAAAUAUGUAUGUUCAGUAAUAUGUUUGAUUCAGUGUUCCUGUGUUUCACAUAAGCACUGAUAUGUUUUCAUAAAUUAUCAGUUACCCAAAAAUUCAAUUGAUUUGUAAAUAAUAGAUUUCAACUAUCAGUCAUCCUUUGGAAUUUUUAUUGGCAGAUCUAGAUCUAGAUCUGCCAAUAAAAAUUCCAAAGGACGACUGAUUGCUGAAAUCUGUUAUUUACAAAUCAAAAAUAACGCUCGCUGUAUGCAACAGCCUCUGAAUGAGGGUAACCUGUAAAAAAUUCAAUUGUCCAAACACCAAUCAAUCCCCAGCUGUUUGGAUAAAUCGAUGCUUUACUGUGUCUGCUAAAUGGAACAAUGUGUGUUACACAUAAUCUGUUUUCUUUUUAUAUUAUUUGAUUCUUUGGUGUCAUCACCAAGUAAAGUAAACAAUCAGUAUUGAAAUUUUAGAUUUAUAAUUUUAUGUAAUUGUUUCUCAAUAAAACUGUAAAUGCUUCUGUUUUAUAAAUGUUUAGAGAUUUGUUAUUUACACUAGAGGUUGAGAUGCACCCUUAUAUUAUGUUGCUAGUAACCUUGCUGUUUACCAUCUGAAACCGGCACCAUCCAUUAUGUUUCUGAACAUUAAAAAUGCACCAUAUUUUCAAUAAGAAUAGAAUAUUGGACUGUGUUGGCCUGAUAUGCCUUCUUUCAGAAGGUAAAAAACAUAUUCAGUGCUUGCUUGAGUUCAAAAUCCAACUGACAGAGUCUUUACAGCCUCUGACAUUGUCUCCAGCAUUAGGAGGUGUAACGUAAGGCAUAAAAACAUGCCUUGGGCUAUAUCCUAAAGCAUAUGUAACUGAAACCACCAAACAUUUUGAGUAUUAUGUCAUUUUUGCUUUAAUCAGCUUGAACUUAUUACAGACUAAUCUAUGUCUAUCACAGUCACUUGAUAUCAGCCACAUAGCCUGAUUAAAGCAACAAAGACACCACUUAACAAUUUUAUACAGUGUGCACAUCCUGCUCCUAAGUAAUUACUAAAUUUUGAUCCUUAGUGAAGGGAGGAAUUUUAAUUUGUACAUGUUUUUAAAAUCCUUUUAAAUAUUUUCAGGGCUUUCUGUAUUAUUUCUGUGAACAUUAAAACUAUAUUUCCAUUUAUGAUAAAAACAGUGUACCCGUAACAGAGAUAUGACUACAAUACAUAUCACAGCAGUAUAAGAAAGGAUUAAAAAUAUAUCCAGGGGAGAAUUUGAAAAAUCUACAGAGAAAAUACAAAGCAACUUAAUCAGUGAGUAAGUUGAUUUGAACAACCAUUAAAAAACAGCCUUGUAACUCAUGUUAUGCAGUGCUGGUCAAAUGUCAGGAAAACAUAUAGACUGGAGUACCUCAGUGGUGGCGCUGUGGUGCAUGACUUUUCCGGGCAGUUGCUGGCGGGCUGUCCUCGUUGUGGCCGCCAGUACCCUAGCAAACGGUCACUCGUCAGGCAUGUUCGUUAUGUGUGUGGAAAGGAACCGCAGCUUCAGUGUCCGUACUGUCCCCACAGGAGCAAGUUUGCCAGUAACCUCAACCAACACAUACUGGCAAUCCAUCCUGGAAGAUCGCUCACUCAGUGGAAAUUCCCACGCAGCAAGCCUGUCCAUUUUAUGCUGUGAACUCUGGCUUACAGCUUUCAAUGUAAAUUUUUAUGUGUGACUGCCAUUGUUAUUGAAAAUGCAGAUGAUUAUUAAGCUAAUUGGUAUACUAGUUUAUAUUGAAAUGCUUUCUGCUACUAAUUGUAAAAUAAAACAAAGAAGCCUCCAUGGUUGAAUGUUCAGGCUAUUUUGGAAA